rnacentral:rRNA from 1 species
GCAGUCGAGCGACUGAUUAGAAACUUGCUUCUAUGACUGUAGCGGCGGAGGGGUGAGUAACACGUGGGCAACCUGCCUGUAAGACGGGGAUAACUUCGGGAAACCGAAGCUAAUACCGGAUAGGAUCUUCUCCUUCAUGGGAGAUGAUUGAAAGAUGGUUUCCGCUAUCACUUACAGAUGGGCCCGCGGUGCAUUAGCUAGUUGGUGAGGUAACGGCUCACCAAGGCAACGAUGCAUAGCCAACCUGAGAGGGUGAUCGGCCACACUGGGACUGACACACGGCCCACACUCCGACGGGAGGCAGCAUUAGGGAAUCUUCCGCAAUGGACGAAAGUCUGACGGAGCAACGCCGCGUGAGUGAUGAAGGCUUUCGGGUCGUAAAACUCUGUUGUUAGGGAAGAACGAGUACAAGAGUAACUGCUCGUACCUUGACGGUACCUAACCACAAAGCCACGGCUAACUACGUGCCAGCAGCCGCGGUAGUACCUAGGUGGCAAGCGUUAUCCGGAAUUAUUGGGCGUAAAGCGCGCGCAUGCGGUUUCUUAAGUCUGAUGUGAAAGCCCACGGCUCAACCGUGGAGGGUCAUUGGAAACUGGGGAACUUGAGUGCAGAACAGAAAAGCGGAAUUCCACGUGUAGCGGUGAAAUGCGUAGAGAUGUGGAGGAACACCAGUGGCGAACGCGGCUUUUUGGUCUGUAACUGACGCUGAGCGCGAAAGCGUGGGGAGCAAACAGAUUAGAUACCCUGGUAGUCCACCCAUAACGAUGAUGCUAAGUGUUAUAGGGUUUCCGCCCUUUAUGCUGCAGCUAACGCAUCAGCACUCGACUGGGAGUACGUCGCAAGACUGAACUCUACGAGUGACGGGCCCGCACAACUGUGGAGCAUGUGCUUAAUUCGAGCAACGCGUAGACCUU